rnacentral:lncRNA from 1 species
GACAGAGAACUUUAGUGUAUUAAUUAAAAACUAGGAGAUGAGAUGUUAACUAGUUGCUAGUUGCUGGAAAUCAUUACAAUGACAUGAGCUCCCCAUGCUACCACUUCUAAAAUCUAUCAUUCCAGUUCAUCGGAUGAAGAAAAAAGAACCCCUCUGUUGUUGUAAAAAAUAAAAAAAAAUAAAGAAGAUAAUAAUAAAAAGUAAUCAUAAAACCAUAGAAGAUAAAUACAUAUAUAUAUGAUAAGGAUCAAGAAGAGAUCUAACAUUCAAUUUGUAUAGCCUUGCAGACCUCUUUUAGAUACUUCAGUAGAAUAGGUUCAAAUGGGUGCGACCAGUUUUUGCAGACCCCUUCUGUGUUUCGUAUUUAUGCCGAGAUGCGUCACAAGCCAGAUAAAUUCCCCUUCUUUUGGGCCUAUAAGGCUAUAACGGAUAUAACGGAAUUUUAAAUAUAGUAGCACGAGAUGGAUGAAGCAGCACACCACAAUGAGCUAAAG